rnacentral:rRNA from 1 species
UACGUAGGGUGCGAGCGUUGUCCGGAAUUAUUGGGCGUAAAGAGCUCGUAGGCGGUCUGUCGCGUCGGUCGUGAAAACUUGGGGCUUAACCCUGAGCUUGCGGUCGAUACGGGCAUGACUGGAGUUCGGCAGGGGAGACUGGAAUUCCUGGUGUAGCAGUGAAAUGCGUAGAUAUCAGGAGGAACACCGAUGGCGAAGGCAGGUCUCUGGGCUGACACUGACGCUCAUGCACGAAAGCGUGGGGAGCAAACAGG